UCAUGCAUCUUCUCCACACACAUGCUUUCAGAACCAAAAACCAAUACCUGGGAAACUCUGCUGCAGGUGCCAAAAUACGAGCUACCAAAGUACGUUCUGAGCGAGCCAACCAAUUUGAUCCGGGAGGAAUGAAUUCAUAUACCGUGAAGGUGAAAGGCUCGUGUAAAUUAUGUGAACCUCAUUUGUUCAGCGACUUUAGUCUUCACUUGCUCAAGAGGUCAAUGGACAUACCACACUUAAUUCAUAACUAGAAGGGCAGUGCGUGCUUUGCCGUGUCGUUUAUAUUCUUGAGGUUGUACAUGUUUCAUGUAAUUCUUUUAAUGUUCUGGAAAAAAAUACGUAUUAGUUGGUUUGGCGUGUGGGGAUACAAUGAAGUGUAUUAUUUUAUUAGAUAUGCUAGUCCUAAGGACAUACUUUCGGGAAUCAUGCUUACGAUGGAUGUGUCAAUUUAUGAUCACAGAUUAGGAAAAAAUUAGGCCAACGGUGUAAAUCGGAGAAGUGAUUAAAUCGGAGAAGUGAUUAGCGGGACAAUGUUUGGUAUGUCCAAUCCGUAGUAAAUCAUUCAUGAGUGUAUCGUUUUUUAAUUGUUGUGAUGUUUGGUGGAUUUUUUUGACCGUAUGAUUGAAGGGUGUCUUUUAACUAGUACAAAAACUUAAGAAAAUUAUU
rnacentral:lncRNA from 1 species